AGAAUAGUCAGUGCUCUUAAUGUCUGAGCCAUCUCUCCAGCCCUGGGAACAGGACUUUUAAAUGAUUUUUAUUAGCUGUCUUUGUAAAGCUGUAACCAUAAUCUGUAAGUUUUGAUUGGUUAGAUACAUAAGUAACAAUUUUGUUGUUGUUUAGGAAGAAGCUGUCCCCAAAACUUUGCUGGAAAACCUUUUAAAAUGUGUGCAGUGCUGCCCUAUCUUGAAAAGUGGCAUGUGACUUACACAGUUUACUCUCCAUGUGCUUCGUGCAAGUGCAUCAGCUUGCAUGGACCAGUCAAAUAAAAACACAGAUAUGAAAUCCUUUCUAACAUUUUGGUUUUGGUUUUAUGUUAUUCUUAUAAAAGUACCAGAAUAAUAUAUUUCUUUCUGGAAAUACAGAGUAAGGAAUCGUGUUUAAUUUAUUCUUAGCUCAGAAAAUAAUUUUGAUUAUAUUACUAAAUACCUAAAAUACAUUUUUAAAGAUUUAUUUAUAUAUUAUGUAUGCAGUGUUUUGUCAGAAAGGGACACCACGCCAGGUGUUGGUGGAGCACAACUUAUAUCCCAGCACUCGGGAGGCAGAGUCCGGCAGAUCUCUGUGAGUUCGAGGUCAGCCUGAUCUACAGAAUGAGUUCUAGGACAUUCCCCAAAGCCAUCAAGAACAGGCUGCUGUUAAGCAUGUCGUAUAUGGACUAGAUCUUGAUCAUAAACUCCAUGACACUGGCCUAUGAUAAAUGUAUAAGCAUAUUGCUUGCAGACAGUUACUGAAGAUAACCCAGAGAUCCUAAAGUAUUUGGAUGGCACAGCACUGCAUGUGCUGGAGUCUGCUUUGCUUUGUCCUGUUACCUCUAUGGAAUAUAUUCUGCUAAAGACACUGGUAGCAGGCAAGGUUUCUCUAUAGCUUUGGAGCCUGUCCUGGAACUCUGUAUCCCAAGUGCUCGGACUAAAG